ACGCAUGCGAGCGCAUUUUGUGCGUUUGCAUGUAAAUGAAAAUGGUCUUUCAGGAUGCGUCACGUCUUCCUCGUGUCCAGGUCUGCUUUGUUUUUUUUCUUUUCUGUCUGCAAACGAAGGAGCUAAUGACUAUGUCAGGUUGUGAAGCUGGCAUUUCCCCAUUGACAUCCUCAAUCCCCCAUUUACAUUUCAUAUCUGGACAUGCCACUACCCGCAAGGCCCCAUGUGAAAGGCCAGGCUGGAUUAAGGUAUCACUGUGAUUGUAUGCUACCUUAUGGACAGGCAGGCAGGCAGAGAAGACCUAAAUCCCCGUCUGGAGCAGAGCAGGUCUCAAGCUGCCGGUAAGCUCUCAUCAGUCCAACCCUCUGCUUCACAGCUCUCCCCCCUCUCAUACCUAGGAGAUCAGGCGUGAUGCCAUGUAAUGGUGGACAUAAUUGCUUUGUCCUCUAUCUAUCUUUUCCCUCUUCUCCCUCUCUGGGCUGGAAGUAACCAAAUGAAAUGAGGUGACACGCGAGGAGAGCGAGGAGUUCUGGCACCGUCAGGAAGCCCAAUCAUUUUCUGUCUCACGUCCUGAAGCAAAUGUCAGCCUGGCUCCAAUCCGACAAUAUUUAGUUGGUAUAUCUGGCAGUAUUUUUCCUCUCACCCACAUACAUCUGGUAGCUUAGCGCACGUCGACUGUUUUUUUUUAAUACUGAUGCAAUGCAGGAAGUAGCAGAUGCUGCGUGCCGAACGAAUAUGUUGUUCUCUCUCUGUAACACGGCUCAUAAGCCCCUAAAAUCACGCUUCAGUUCUGAAAGCUCGCUCCGCAGAACUGUAAAUAGCCGGUAUCAAAACACGAGCGAAGGUAGUACAGUAAUCCCACCCAGCGCAGCCAGUUGUCGGGAUUUUCCUUCCUCUCGUUAGCUCGAUACUACGGAUAAAGCGAUUGUCUUAUUUUCCCUGUAACACUCAUGAGUCAGAAAAUCUGUUUCUCAUUGUUGCGGAACCGUCCUCCCCAACCGUGAAGGAUAAGGAUAUCCAAGGUCCCUUAUUAGUAUGCACAACAAUGCAUCAUAUUUUUUCCACCGUGUCUCAUUUCCAACCCUGCAAAAUGGGGGAAGGAAUGAAAAAUAUGCGGGAGAUUACCACGUUAAACAAUUUGGUUCUGCUUAAUAGUGACUCCUUUGAUUCAGACCCCCCCGUCCCGCCAAGAUGAGCGUGGCUGAGGAAUGAUUGAGAUGCACGGAGGAAGCUUGUUCCCGGCUGCCUGCUCCUGCUAAAGCAGGGCCCACUUCACCAUAAUAAGAGGUCAUCCCUGGAGGAGUGUGGAAAUGUGUCUAAUUAAAACAAAAUGCUUUAUCAAGAGCCGAGGCAAAGUGAGCAGCUCCGGUAAGGGAAAGGGGAAAAAAAAAAAAGAAAAAAAAAUAGCCAGCAAUUUCCUGAGAUUCACAUUCUGAUAAACAUCUUAUUAGAACAGUCGGCUAUCUAGUGGAGGUGCUCUGCAUUGUAAGGAGGAAUUUUACUGGUUCUCGCCGUCGUGUUUGUGUGUGUGCGUGACUGACAAACACUACUACAACAAAUCCUGAGUCUACCUAUUUCGUCAGGCAUUUUUGGAUUUUGCUCACCUUGCAGUUAAGCGGGAGUGUAAAUUACUUUGCGCCGUGGGCACAAAGUACUUAAUUGUUUUUUUUUUUUUAUAUCAUCGUAAUUCAUCUCCGCCGACAGCUCAAUUGUGGCACUGAUGUGUUGAAAGAUGGACCAUCUGUACUUCCGCCGCUCUUCCUCUCCCUCUCUCCCCUCUGUUGCUAUUUUCGAGGUGCCAUGUUUCCAUACUGAUGCCAUCUAAGUCCGUGAUUUGUUUGCCACGAGUGUGAUGUGUGAGAUUACAGCGCGAUGGCUGCGGCUCGUGGAACGCCUCCAAGCAAGGACAAAAUAAUAAUAAUAAUAAAAAAAAAAGGAAUACAAUGCCUCGCUCAGCAAACACAUCGGAGCAGCUUGCAAUUACCACGUCUCCUGUGAUUGCAUCUCUGUGGAAAUUAAUUGCCAUUUUAAUUUAGUUUUUCCAUUGACAAAUCCCGACGAGCUUAAGAGGCGACGCUGCCGAUGAGAGACGCGCAUCCGGGGGCCACAGAUCAGGCGCGUUAUGUUCAAUCGUACUUCGGGGCGGCUUGUUUUUUGUUUUUUUUCUCUCUCUUUUUUUCCCCCUGAAGAGGAAACAGAAAACAAAAUCACAGCUAUCAAACCUCUUGAAAAUACACUCACUGAGAUCACAGCGCUGAUGUGUAUCGAGCUCUCAUUCAAAUAGCUGCAAUUUGUUAACUAAAACUUCAACCGGGGCGUGAUGGUGUCAUUUGACUCCCCCCCCCCCUCCCCCUCUUCUAGUAACUUCCCGUGUGAGAUGUUUUCGUCCUCAGUGUCGAGCAGGAAAAACCAGCCGAUCAUCACCGCGUGGUGGAGGGCUGCCGAGGCUCCAUCAGUGGGCCAUUACAUCGGUAAUGGCCCACCUGUACGAACGUGGUCUCUGUGUGAGAGGAGCGUAUGUGUUCGCUCACUGAUUGCGUGUGGCUGUGGUCCCCGGAGCCUCUUGAGCAUGUAUCCGGUGCCCACUCCAACAGGUGCAUGGUGGGAAGUAAGCAGCGGGGGCGGACUUCCAUAAUGGAGCUGGUUCAUAAUGCCACACACGUUCACAAGUCCCAAGACACUCGGUGCACAUUCUUGGUUCUGCUGCUCACGAGUCUGUAACGAUAACUAAAAAUAAAUCUAGUCUUCUCAUCACCUGCAGGAGAAGGUGAGAAUGUAAUGUUUUAUUUAAGUAUGCAUGUUUUACUGUUAUGAUUAAACUUGUGGUGCUAACAUUUACAUUAAUGUAGCAACAGAAGAAAUUAAAAUAGUUGAUUGCUGGUAGAGAUUUUAAGGACUUUGAGUACUGAAACUUCUCAAAUAAGAAAUGAAAGAAAUAUGAAACUAUGUUGAAGAGCCUUCAAUCCUGUUUAUCAACCUUACUGCAACAGUCAUCCAUGUUCAUGUUCUGUAGUUUUGACUCCUGGUCUUGGAUGGAAGAUGCUUCACAAAGGAGGAGAAGGGAAGAGAACGGAGAGAACUGAAGUGUCUGUCGGGCUGAUUGCUCACACGGGUCAGAGAAGAGAGGGAAUGGAGCUUCAGUGGAGCUGACAGGUUGCCACAUUCCCUCGUGAUAUCUUCAAAUACGGCCGCAGGGAGAGAGAAUUAAAGGCAUCACAAGAGGCCCCCUUUGAAACCUUCCAACUUAGUAUGAAAUCACUGCGUGCGAGCACUUUGAUCAGCAAACGGUCAAGCGGCAGCCGUGCAGCCGGCCAUCUCUCCGCAUUACCGUUUGGGGGCCUGCGCACGGCCCUCCACCUGACCGCGGCUGGAUUUUGCCCAUUGAACUGAUCUUCCAACAAAUAAAGCUUUAGUGCUCUGCCACGAAUUACGCUCCUCUAUCUCCCCGUCACACAUGCCUCGCAGCGCCACGCCACCUCUACGCCUGCACCCGGCAGCCCCGCGCACCCAGAGAUAAACAAAUCUGGGGUGGAAAGGCGCCAGGACUUAAAGUGGCUGAGUUACACCGCUGAGAACAGGGGCCAUCUUGACUCAGCCCUCUGCUUUUUUGUUUUUUGUUUUGUUUUCUAAGAGACAGGGUUGUAAUGAAGCUGUGUGACAGGAGGGUGCAUCUCUAAGUCAUAAGCACAUAAAUAAGCAAACGCUUUUUUUUUGUUUGUUGCAUCAAAUUGAGGUGCUUGAAGGGGAGCAGAGACACAGAGCUGAGUACGAUAUGCGUGCAAGCGGGCAGAUUUUCCACUUUGGAUUGCUUCUUCACAUGAUGCCUGUGCGUCUUGGUUGACAGGCAAACUAAGGAAGUUUGCAAAAUUAUGAUUAAAAGGCUCAGUGCAGCUACUGUUCUCACAACUUACAACGUCACAUUUCAGACAGUCUGCUUGUAUUUUCUUGUUCACCAUCACAGAAUCUGCAACCGGCCUCGGUCGCUCGAUACGUGUCCCAAAGUGAGAUAUGACUGAUAAGAACUCCUCUGUGUGUAAUAACACAGCUUCACCUUGCAAAAAUGGCUUAAUCUAUCAUUUCUUUGCACACACACACACACACACAAAAUACUCUUCCAGGCAGUCCUGUGCAAACCUUGUCCUUUCGAUAUGAAUUGAGUUAUGUUCCAAUCAAACAAAUCACGGCUUGUUCCAAACAUGGCUGCUCCAAACGGUGCCGUGAGUAAUGAAUUGAAAGAAGUCUGUAUUUGAUUACCCCCGGGCCGGCCAGGGUUGACCAAGAUCCAUUUGAGAGGUAGUGCAGUGGAAUUCCAAUAUGGACGCCCUCCAGCUAUUGACCCUGUCUUUAAGUGGGCGCUGUGCUUUUAGUGUACUUACACUGGUUGUUCCACAUCUUCUUCCUCCUGGCAGUUUUGCAAUACUUUUGAUGGCAGACACUGGCUCCCUUUUCCCCACUCUGCAUUAUUGAUGCAUCAGAGGAUGUGGAUAGCCUACUUUUUUUUGUCAUAACCCUCUAUGGGCACGGAUGCAAGGAGAGAAGGGAGACGGUGUUGGUGUGUUGUGUAACUAUCUCAAUGUCAUGACUGUGAUAGAAAAUUACAUAAAUAUAUAUAUAUUUAUGUUGCGUCGGUGCAGCUGAUGGUCUCAGCCGUGCAAAGGGAGCUCGACGCUUGGCAGCCAAUACUGAGAUCAGCCAUGAAAGAUUUAUGAUGUAUGAAUAAAAAUGGAAGGAGUGAUAGGCGAGGACUUGUUGGGUGCCUCCCCGUUGAAAUAAAUACAAUAUAAUGGUGCCUGCAGCCGAAGUAACACGACGACUCUCACAUCUCAAAGUUAGAUUCGGCAGCACGGAGGUGAAAAGAUCAAUGCACCACCAUGAAUCUGUAACAUGUUGUUUCUAUAUCCAAAGUGCCUUAUUGUAUCAGGGAACUCUGGGAUUUAUAUUCGAACCCUGAUUGAACUCCUCACCCUGAUGUGGAGGACACGAUGUCCCAGAUGUCACGGCAAAUUAUAGGACAAAGAAACUUGGGGGAAAUCAUGUCUUCAAAUCCUGACAAUCUGGGUCUGUAGGUCAGGCAGAGCGCCAACCCACCGAUCAGCCGCCACACGAUCAGCGAAAUUGAAAACUUAACGGUGCACUAUGUAGUUUUUAGGAAGAAAUUUCAAUCAGAAGAGAAAAAAAUCUUUGUACCUAAACAAACUAAU